GCAGCCUGAUGCAGCGACGCCGCGUGAGGGAUGACGGCCUUCGGGUUGUAAACCUCUUUCAGUAGGGAAGAAGCGAAAGUGACGGUACCUGCAGAAGAAGCGCCGGCUAACUACGUGCCAGCAGCCGCGGUAAUACGUAGGGCGCAAGCGUUAUCCGGAAUUAUUGGGCGUAAAGAGCUCGUAGGCGGUUUGUCGCGUCUGCCGUGAAAGUCCGGGGCUCAACUCCGGAUCUGCGGUGGGUACGGGCAGACUAGAGUGAUGUAGGGGAGACUGGAAUUCCUGGUGUAGCGGUGAAAUGCGCAGAUAUCAGGAGGAACACCGAUGGCGAAGGCAGGUCUCUGGGCAUUAACUGACGCUGAGGAGCGAAAGCAUGGGGAGCGAACAGGAUUAGAUACCCUGGUAGUCCAUGCCGUAAACGUUGGGCACUAGGUGUGGGGGACAUUCCACGUUUUCCGCGCCGUAGCUAACGCAUUAAGUGCCCCGCCUGGGGAGUACGGCCGCAAGGCUAAAACUCAAAGGAAUUGACGGGGGCCCGCACAAGCGGCGGAGCAUGCGGAUUAAUUCGAUGCAACGCGAAGAACCUUACCAAGGCUUGACAUGGGCCGGACCGGGCUGGAAACAGUCCUUCCCCUUUGG
rnacentral:rRNA from 2 species